GUACUAAAGGUAUAGCUAACCACUAUAAUGCAUUAUGAAGCCUGGGGGGGUACUAAAGGUAUAGCUAACCACUAUAAUGCAUUAUGAAGCCUGGGGGUGGAGGAUAAAGGUAUAGCUAACCACUAUAAUGCAUUAUGAAGCCUGAGGGGAAGCCAAAACAAGUUAACCACCAGAAACCAUCACGGGGCAGAUAACAAUGAUUAAGUGUCUCAAUUCUAGAACACGGAUACUUUGUAGUAUAUAAACACAGUAUCUGACAGUAAAACAAGGAAACUAAGUACCACACAGCUGAGUUACAUUAAUCCUAACGCCUCACAAAUGCAUUUGACCUUGGUGUGUUCUGAUGGAGGGGUGUGUGUUGACAGGUACAGGUGUGUUCUGAUGGAGGGGUGUGUGUUGACAGGUACAGGUGUGUUCUGAUGGAGGGGUGUGUGUUGACAGGUACAGGUGUGUUCUGAUGGAGGGGUGUGUGUUGACAGGUACAGGUGUGUUCUGAUGGAGGGGUGUGUGUUGACAGGUACAGGUGUGUUCUGAUGGAGGGGUGUGUGUUGACAGGUACAGGUGUGUUCUGAUGGAGGGGCGUGUGUUGACAGGUACAGGUGUGUUCUGAUGGAGGGGUGUGUGUUGACAGGUACAGGUGUGUUCUGAUGGAGGGGCGUGUGUUGACAGGUACAGGUGUGUUCUGAUGGAGGGGUGUGUGUUGACAGGUACAGGUGUGUUAUGAUGGAGGGGUGUGUGUUGACAGGUACAGGUGUGUUCUGAUGGAGGGGUG